rnacentral:rRNA from 1 species
GGUCCAGCCUGCCCAGUGACUCUGUUCAACGGCCGCGGUAUCCUAACCGUGCGAAGGUAGCGUAAUCACUUGUUCUUUAAAUGAGGACUAGUAUGAAUGGCAUCACGAAGGUUAUACUGUCUCCUUUUUCUAAUCAGUGAAACUAAUCUUCCCGUGAAGAAGCGGGAAUAAAAUUAUAAGACGAGAAGACCCUAUGGAGCUUCAAACUCUCAACAACUAUCUUUUUUUAUAUAACUCUAAAGAAAAUAAUAUUCAUCUAGGUAGUAUGACUGCUAGUUUUUGGUUGGGGUGACCACGGAGUAAAAUCUAACCUCCAUGAUGAACAGGACUGGUUCCUAAACAAAGAAUUACUAUUCAAAGUAUCAAAAAAUUGACGACAUUGACCCAAUAUUUUGAUCAACGAACCAAGUUACCCUAGGGAUAACAGCGCAAUCCAUCUAAAGAGUUCAUAUCGACAGAUGGGUUUACGACCUCGAUGUUGGAUCAGGGUAUCCCAGUGGUGCAGCCGCUACUAAAGG